UUUUGAUGUGAACCAGGCGGAGAGAGCUCCACAUAAAAUGAGCUUGAUAAGAAGUCAGUGACACGACUCCAUUUCUUCAACAUUUUGAACCGAGACUCCAUCCUCCAUUUUAUUUAUUUGUUUAUUUGUAAAGUUUAGAUAAAGUUAUACGAAACGGGCAAUUAAUAAUUAAGUAAAGAGAGAGAGCAGUUAGGUGGCGGUGUCAUCGGUUGGUUGAUUUCUGUCGCGUGCAGCAAUGAGGACUACCGCAAUGGCGCAGUGUUCAUUGUUUCCUAUAUUUACGCGCGUAAAUGCCAACAAAGCCCAUCUUUCUUCUUCCUUUUUGCCAUUUUGCCACUCAUCUUUCUCUCUGAACCAUCGUCGUCCUUCUCUUUCUAUGGCCUCUGCAACAACUCAGUCGUCAUCAAUGCAGGCUUUUUCAUCUGGGGAUGUUAGUAGUGAUGCCAAUUUGUUCCAGUUGAUUCAAACUCACCAAGAAAAGGCUGCUAGACUUUCACCUGUUGAGGAGAUUAGAACUGUGCUUUAUCACAGUUCGCGUGGUGUACUUUCGACUUUUUCUCAGAAGCAUGACGGUUAUCCAUCUGGGUCGAUGGUUGAUUUUGCAUGUGAUGUUGAUGGAACUCCAAUACUAGCAGUGAGCAGCUUGGCAAAUCAUUCAAAGGACCUUUUAGCUAAUUCAAAAUGCUCAUUACUUGUUGCUAGAGAUCACGAGGAUAGGACUGAUUUGGUAAUUACACUGCACGGUGAUGCCGUCUCUGUUUCUGAGGGAGAUCGUAGUGCCGUUCGAACUGCAUAUCUGGCAAAGCAUCCAAAUGCAUUCUGGGUUGACUUUGGUGACUUUCAAUUUAUACGCAUUGAACCAAAAGUUGUGCGAUAUGUGUCAGGAGUUGCAACUGCUUUACUUGGGUCAGGAGAGUUUAGCAAAGAAGAGUACCAAGCUGCUAAAGUCGAUCCAAUAGCUCAGUUUUCUAAGCCUGUGGCGUCUCAUAUGAAUAGAGAUCAUGGGGAGGAUACAAGGCUCAUUGUGCAACAUUCAACAUCAACUGCGGUGGACUCUGCCUACAUUCUAGAUAUUGAUAGUCUGGGUUUUAAUGUGAAGGCUGUUUGCCAAGGGAAUACUUGCAAGCUUCGGAUUCCUUUUCCUAGACGUGCAGAAGACAGAAAGUGAGGCACCUUAACUAUGAAUUUCUAGUCCCUUCUGGAAACCAAAUGGUUCUUUUGUAUAUGCAGAAGACAGAAAGUGAGGCACCUUAACUAUGAAUUUCUAGUCCCUUGUCGAAAUCAGAUGGUUCUUUGGUGGCCUAUUUCCUUUGGGAACCCAAUCAUAAUGUCCUGCUAUGAUUGAAACCCUUGGGCAAAGAAACUUAUGGAUGGCCUUCUGCAAUGGCCCACAGGGAUGUGAAGACCCUAAUAGUGGAAAUGCUUCAAGCUGCUAAGUCUCAAGUUAAUUGAUUGCCAAGCUGAAAUGAUAUAAGGAGGAUUCUGCAGCAUGCACAUCAGAAUUGCAGCCUAGUUGAGAGUUGAUAUGGACGGAUGUGGAAUUCUGGAAGGCAAAACAGCACAUAGAUUGACUUGUUGAUAACUAAACAAUAACCUUACUCUUGGCAGCUUGCUCCUGAUGCAUAAUAAUGUAAUGUACAAUUUACUUGUUAUCCAAUGUUAUAGUCUAAAGUAUAAGAUUUGUAAAAGAAAACUGAAGAAAUGUCGAUGCAUGUUUUCUUCU